AGCUAUAUAAUUCCGGAUCUCAGAUCAAGCAAGAGGACCCGCCGAAUUUAAGCAUAUAAUUAAGCGGAGGAAAAGAAACUAACUAGGAUUCCCUCAGUAACGGCGAGUGAAGCGGGACUAGCUCAGGAUGUGAAUCUGCGCUCUUAUGGCGCCGAAUUGUGGUCUGUAGACUUUGACGUUAUUUGCCGGGGCAAGUUCCUUGGAAAA
rnacentral:rRNA from 1 species